UUUCGCUGGGGCUCCUUCCUGUCCUACGAGCUGUGGCCUCCGCAGCACUGCGCAAGCGGGAUGUGUCUGUGCGCCGAGACGCGCCCGCCGUACCAGCUAAAAAUAACAUGUAUGAAGGGCGCUCAACUCUGACCGCCAAUCAGCACUGCUGGCGUCAAGCUGUGAGGCUGAGACGCGGCGCCGGAGGCCUGGGAGCCAGGCGCAUAUCCAGGCCCACACCCCCGCCUGCCACCUGCUUGGCGAGGUGCAGGUGGACCCCGAAGCUCGAGGGUGGCCUGGCGCCACUGCGCCUGCGACGGCCUGGGUGGUGCUGGCUACUACCUGCAGCCCUAAUGGCUCCCUGACUGGGCUGAUUAGAGCAGCUUCCUACUCCAGGCGGAGCAGGGCCCUUCUGUUCGUGGCUGAAAGGUGUGUUCCAGCCUCCAAUGAGGACUACUUCAUUGAGCCCUGGAUGGUGCCCCGGUUCGGCCUGGCCACGCCCAGCCCCAUGUGGUGUACAAGGCCAGGUCCCGGAGAGGUUGGCACAAUGGGGUGAUUCCAGUACUUCCAAGCACCUGUGGGGUGCAAGAGAUGGUAGGAGAUCUGGUGGUAGCUGAUGCCAAAAUGGUGGAGUACCACGGACAGCCGCAGGUUGAGAGCUAUGUGCUGACCAUCAUGAACAUGGUGGCUGGCCUGUUUCAUGACCCCAGUAUUGGGAACCCCAUCCACAUCACCAUUGUGCGCCUGGUCCUUCUGGAAGAUGAAGAGGUGAGAGUUCAUGUGGUCCCACGCUGCCCAGCAAUGACUUCCGGUCCUCUGCAGGAGGUUUCUACAGAGGGGUGGAGUGACCUAAAGAUCACACACCUCAUGCAGACAACACUAAGAGCUUGCAAGUGGCAGAAAAGCAUCAACAUGAAGGGGGACGCCCACCCCCUGCACCAUGACACUGCCAUCCUGCUCACCAGGAAGGACCUGUGUGCAGCCAUGAACUGCCCUGUGAGACCCUGGGCCUCCCCACGGGCGGGCAUGUGCCAGCCGCACCGCAGCUUGCGUGGUAACAACGAGGACAGGCCUGCCGCUGGCCUUCACUGUCGCCCACCCGCUCUCACACAGUUUUGGCAUUCAGCAUGACGGAAGCGGCAAUGACUGUGAACCCGUUGGGAAACGGCCUUUCAUCAUGUCUCCACAGCUCCUGUACGACGCCGCUCCUCUCACCUGGUCCCGCUGCAGCCGCCAGUACAUCACCAGGUUCCUUGACCGUGGGUGGGGCCUGUGCCUGGACGACCCUCCUGCCAAGGACAUCAUCGACUUCCCCUCGGUGCCGCCUGGCGUCCUCUAUGAUGUGAGCCACCAGUGCCGCCUCCAGUAUGGGGCCUACUCUGCCUUCUGCGAGGACAUGGAUAAUGUCUGCCAAGCACACUCUGGUGCCUCUGUGGGGACCACCUGUCACUCCAAGCUGGAUGCAGCCGUGGAUGGCACCCGUGUGGGAGAAUAAGGUAGGGAUUGGUGUCUCAAUGGGGAGUGCGUACUGUGCUUCGCCCGAGGCCGUGGAUGGUGGCUGGUCUCAAGCUGAGCGCCUGGUCCUCUGCUCGCGGAGCCCGGCGUGGUGUACAGAGCCGAGCGGCAGUGCACGCAGCCUACGCCCAAAUACAAAGGCAGAUACUGUGUGGGUGAGCGGAAGCGCUUCCGCCUCUGCAACCUGCAGGCCUGCCCCGCUGGCCGCCCCUCCUUCCGCCACAUCCAGUGCAGCCACUUUGACGCUACGCUUUACGAGGGCCAGCUGCACACAUGGGUGCCCGUGGUCAAUGACGUGAACCCCUGCGAGCUGCACUGCCGGCCCUCGAAUGAGUACUUUGCCGAGAAGCUGCGGGACGCAGUGGUCGAUGGCACCCCCUGCUACCAGGUCCGGGCCAGCAGGGACCUCUGCAUCAACGGCAUCUGCAAGAACGUGGGCUGUGACUUUGAGAUUGACUCCGGUGCUAUGGAGGAUCGCUGUGGUGUGUGCCACGGCAAUGGCUCCACCUGCCACACCGUGAGCGGGACCUUCGAGGAGGCCGAGGGCCUGGGGUAUGUGGAUGUGGGGCUGAUCCCAGCCGGUGCACGAGAGAUCCGCAUCCAGGAGGUGGCCGAGGCUGCCAACUUCCUGGCACUGCGGAGCGAGGACCCGGAGAAGUACUUCCUCAAUGGUGGCUGGACCAUCCAGUGGAACGGGGACUACCAGGUGGCAGGGACCACCUUCACAUACGCACGCAGGGGCAACUGGGAGAACCUCACGUCCCCGGGUCCCACCAACGAGCCUGUCUGGAUCCAGCUGCUGUUCCAGGAGAGCAACCCCGGGGUGCGCUACGAGUACACCAUCCACAGGGAGGCAGGCGGCCAUGGCGAGGUCCCGCCACCCGAGUUCUCCUGGCACUAUGGGCCCUGGACCAAGUGCACAGUCACCUGCGGCAGAGGUGUGCAGAGGCAGAGUGUGCUGCUCGGAGCGGCAGACAGGGCCGUGGAUGAGGAGCACUGUGACCCCCUGGGCCGGCCGAUGACCGCCAGAGAGUGCAGCGCGAGCAGCCCUGCCCUGCCAGGUGGUGAGGCAGGUAGUGGCAGCUGUGCUCCAGCUCCUGUGGGCCUUAGGGCCUCUCCCACCCCGGGCCGUGCUCUGCAUCCGCAGCGUGGGGCUGGAUGAGCGGAGCGCCCUGGAGCCCCGGCCUGUAGAACACCUUCCCGGCCCCUACUGAAACCCUUGCAACCGCCAUGUGCCUGUCAAGCCUGGGCUGUAGGAAACUGGUCUCAGUGCUCAAUGGCUUAUGUAAACCUCAAACGAAAUGUCCUCUGCACCAAUGACACUGAGUGUCCCCCUGUGUGAGCCCAGCAGCCAGCCAGAGAAUCACCUGCUCUCUGCCACCCUGUAUCGGUGGCCCCUGAACACACUGGGCCCUGAAGGCUCAGGUAGCGCUCCUCAGCCACGAGCUCUUCAAUGAGGCUGACUUCAUCACGCCACCGGGCCCCACGCCCUUCACCUGUCUCAUCCCCACCCAAGCCAGGCACCAUAGAGGCAACGCCAUUGAGGGAAGAAGGCCCUAGAGCUGGACCUGCCGGGGGAGCCGUGUUUGUGGAUGACUUCUACUAAAACUACAAUUUCAUCAACUUCCCAUGAUCUGUCCUAUGGGCCCUCUGAGGGCCUGAUCUAGACCUGGGCGGAGACAGGGGAUCAGACGCCCCACCACACAGUGGUCUGCUGUGCCCUCCACAGAUGGCCCAUUGCACCUGCCACAGAGCCUCCUGCAGCCAAGGAGGGAGAGGGCACGGGACCUUAGUCCCCUAGCCCUUAGCCCAGCCAGGCAGCCCUCCCCCCCACCCUCAGAGCAGACCCCUGGGAACCCUUUGAUCAAUUUCCUGCCUGAAGAAAGACGCCCCCAGAGGGCCCAGAUCUUAGGCUCCCCAGCCUGCCCUGGCCCAGGAGUUUCCAUUGAUGGCCUGCAGACGCCUGCCACCCUGAAGCCAAAAUGACUUCCCGUGCCAAGGACGAGCCAGCUACCCCCUCCAUGGAGGGACAGGACCAAUGAAGUUUCAAGGAUGAUGAGAACCCGAGGGCCGUAGAGCACCCACCCGCCUCUGGGACCCAGCCCCACGCUGCCCCUUUGUCCCUGCCCCCUUUGUCCCUGUCGGCAGUACCUCCUCUCCUAGUCCUGAUGUGAGGAGGCUGUGGACAGGAGGGACUGUGGCCUGGGAGCCAACUCUGGAGGGUGGCCUGGGGCCUGUGGACAGUGAACUGUGGCCCACUGUUGGGUGGCUCCUCCCCCUCCUCCCCCAUAGCCCAUCUGCCAGAGAUGAAGGAGGCAGGACAGCCCCUGGAGCCGAGGACUCCCACUGCCCCACACCCCAGGACCAGGCUUAUGGGACGUGCAGACUGUGGCAGUGUGGGGACCUUCCUCCCCAACCUGACUGGCCUCGGGCUGGCCUGAGCCUGCCUGAACCCAGGACCCAAGGAGCCAGCCUGAGUCCUCAGCCUGAGGUGCCCCUACAGGCUCUAGGCUACUGUCCACGCCCGCUUGGGACAGCCCCGCCAACAACCCACAGAACCCCUGAGACCCAACCGCUGGCUCCCAGCCUGGCACGAAGCCGUCUCCCUGCAGACCCGUUGGCUGUCAGGAGCGCUAGCUGGCCAGGGAAGCUGGAGCCAGGCAAGUGGUCACGGUGCUCCACCACCUGUGGCCUGGGUGCCGUCUGGAGGUCGGUGCGCUGUAGCUCUGGCCGGGAUGAGGACUGCGCCCCGCUAUCGGCCCCAGCCUGCCCGCCGCUGCCACCUGCGGCCCUGUGCCACCUGGCACUCAGGCAACUGGAGUAAGGUACUCCGCAGCUGCGGCGGAGGUUCCUCAGUGCGGGAUGUGCAGUGUAAUGUGGACACAGGGACCUCGGCUGCUGCAGCCCUUCCAUUGUCAGCCCGGGCCUGCCAAGCCACCUGCGCACAGGCCCUGCGGGGCCCAGCCCUGCCUCAGCUGGUACACCUCUUCCUGGAGGGAGAGUGAGUGCUCCGAGGCCUGUGGCGGUGGUGAGCAGCAGCGUCUGAUGACCUGUCAGAGCCAGGCCUCUUGAGGAGGCGCUGAGACCCAACACCACCACGGCCCUGCAACACCCACCCCCUGCACACAGUGGAGUGGUGGGCCCUGGGACCAGUGCUCAGCCCCUGUGGUGGUGGCGUCAGCGCGGCGCCUGGUGUCAAGUGUCAACACCCAGAGCGGGGAGCUGCCAGAGGAAGACAGCGACCCAGUGACAGAGUCCUCAGCCAGGGCCCUCAAGCUGGCAUUCGGGGCCCCCUGCAAUCUCCCCGGCUUUGUGGCCCACCUGAGAAGUGGGAGGUUGGCCUGGGAGAUGGGACCCUGUGACCCAGAACCCGAGGCUGAGUACAGCCCCCGUGGCUGGAGGUGGUCACGGAGGCCUGGCAGGCCAGAUGUACUGGGGCAGGGGGUGGUGGUGGGAGUCGGGGACAGAGGCCGCUGCAGGCUGGCAGGAGGCCCCGGGACCGCAGUUCUGUGGCAGGAUCUGUUGGGGAACACCAGGGGCUGUGAGCGGGACCGCCUAUCCUUCGGGUUCUGUGAGAGGCUGCGCCUACUGGGCCGCUGCCAGCUGCCAACCAUCCGCAUGCAGUGCUGCCGCUCAUGCUCUCCGCCCAGCCACGGCGCCCCCUCGAGGCCAUCAGCGGGUUGCCCGCCGCUGACUGUGCCAGGAUGCACAGACUGACCGACAGACCUCAGUGCCCACUACGGGCUGUGGCGGAGCUUCCACCCCCUGCGCCCUAAUGGUGCUAACCCUCUCCCUACCCAGUGGCAGGCUGGGGACCUCCUCCCCAUCAAAAAAGGUAUUUUUUUAUUCUAACAGUUCGUGUAACAUUUAUUACGAUUUUACAUAAAUGAGCAUCUACCAUUCCAAA